GAUGAACGCUGGCGGCGUGCCUAAUACAUGCAAGUCGAGCGAACAGACGAGGAGCUUGCUCCUCUGACGUUAGCGGCGGACGGGUGAGUAACACGUGGAUAACCUACCUAUAAGACUGGGAUAACUUCGGGAAACCGGAGCUAAUACCGGAUAAUAUAUUGAACCGCAUGGUUCAAUAGUGAAAGACGGUUUUGCUGUCACUUAUAGAUGGAUCCGCGCCGCAUUAGCUAGUUGGUAAGGUAACGGCUUACCAAGGCAACGAUGCGUAGCCGACCUGAGAGGGUGAUCGGCAACCCUGGAACUGAGACACGGUCCAGACUCCUACGGGAGGCAGCAGUAGGGAAUCUUCCGCAAUGGGCGAAAGCCUGACGGAGCAACGCCGCGGGAGUGAUGAAGGUCUUCGGAUCGUAAAACUCUGUUAUUAGGGAAGAACAAAUGUGUAAGUAACUAUGAACGUCUUGACGGUACCUAAGCAGAAAGCCACGGCUAACUACGU
rnacentral:rRNA from 1 species